AAUCAACGCUGGCGGCGUGCCUCAGACAUGCAAGUCGAACGAGAAAGUCCCCUUCGGGGGAUAAGUAAAGUGGCGCACGGGUGAGUAACACGUAGGUAAUCUACCUUCGGGUGGGGAAUAACCCAGGGAAACUUGGGCUAACACCGCAUAAUGCAGCGGCACCACAUGGUGACAGUUGUUAAAGCGGGGGGAUUUUCGGACCUCGCGCCUGAAGAGGAGCCUGCGGCGGAUUAGCUAGUUGGUAAGGAACGGCUUACCAAGGCAACGAUCCGUAGCCGGCCUGAGAGGGCGGUCGGCCACACUGACACUGACAUACGGGUCAGACUCCUACGGGAGGCAGCAGUCGGGAAUUUUGGGCAAUGGGCGAAAGCCUGACCCAGCAACGCCGCGUGAAGGAUGAAAU
rnacentral:rRNA from 1 species